rnacentral:rRNA from 1 species
UACAGAGGUCUCAAGCGUUGUUCGGAAUUACUGGGCGUAAAGGGCGCGUAGGCGGCCUUCUAAGUCGAACGUGAAAUCCCCGGGCUCAACCCGGGAACUGCGUCCGAUACUGGAAGGCUUGAAUCCGGGAGAGGGAUGCGGAAUUCCAGGUGUAGCGGUGAAAUGCGUAGAUAUCUGGAGGAAUACCGGUGGCGAAGGCGGCAUCCUGGACCGAUAUUGACACUGAUGAGCGAAAGCCAGGGGAGCAAACGGG